rnacentral:misc_RNA from 1 species
UUUCCGUAGGUGUACCUGCGGAAGGAUCAUUAAUGAGUUGUCAUGGGGUUCGAUGCUGGCAGCCAAUUUUUGGAUGCAUGUGCUUGCCCUAACAAUCAUCUUCCAAACACCUGUGCACAUUUUUGAGGGAGUCUUGAGUUGGUUGCCGCUCUUGGGUGAUUUUAUCACAUUCCCUUAAAUCAUUAUACGCUAUUAACAAUGUUGAACGUGCUCUGUGCCGCAAGGCUAUUAAUAUAAUACAACUUUUAACAACGGAUCUCUUGGCUCUC